AACGAACGCUGGCGGCAGGCCUAACACAUGCAAGUCGAGCGCACCCUUCGGGGCGAGCGGCGGACGGGUUAGUAACGCGUGGGAAUGUACCCUUUUCUACGGAAUAGCCAUUGGAAACGAUGAGUAAUACCGUAUACGCCCUUUGGGGGAAAGAUUUAUCGGAGAAGGAUCAGCCCGCGUUAGAUUAGAUAGUUGGUGGGGUAAUGGCCUACCAAGUCUACGAUCUAUAGCUGGUUUUAGAGGAUGAUCAGCAACACUGGGACUGAGACACGGCCCAGACUCCUACGGGAGGCAGCAGUGGGGAAUCUUAGACAAUGGGCGCAAGCCUGAUCUAGCCAUGCCGCGUGAGUGAAGAAGGCCUUAGGGUCGUAAAGCUCUUUCGCCAGGGAUGAUAAUGACAGUACCUGGUAAAGGAACCCCGGCUAACCCCGUGCCAGCAGCCGCGGUAAUACGGAGGGGGUUAGCGUUGUUCGGAAUUACUGGGCGUAAAGCGCACGUAGGCGGAUUAGAAAGUAUGGAGUGAAAUCCCAGGGCUCAACCCUGGAACUGCCUCAUAAACUCCUAAUCUAGAGUUCGAGAGAGGUGAGUGGAAUUCCGAGUGUAGAGGUAAAAUUCGUA
rnacentral:rRNA from 1 species